GGUCAGAUUCAGCGCAAGCAGUUACUCCGAUCCAUUGGACUUCAGAUACCUAUAUUGAGGUUUGAGACCUGAGGGUGCUUUCUGAUCCUUUU
rnacentral:vault_RNA from 8 species